UAUCAGAUGAGCCUAGGUUGAGAUUAGGUAGUUGGUGAGGUAAUGAGCUCACCAAGGCGUCGACCGGUGAGGUAACGGCUCACCAAGGCUUUGACGGACGGCCUACCAAGGCGAUGAUCGGUAGCUGGUUUGAGAGGGUGAUCGGUCACACUGGAACUGAGACACGGUCCCGACUCCUAGGGGAGGCAGCAGUGGGGAAUAUUGCACAAUGGGCGCAACCCUGAUCCAGCCAUGCCGCGUGAAUGAAGAAGGCCUUCGGGUUGUAAAGCACUUUCAGUAGGGAGGAAAGGGUGAGUCUUAAUACGGCUCAUCUGUGACGUUACCCGCAGAAUAAGCUCCGGCUAACUCCUGUGCCAGCAGCCGCGGUAAUACGGAGGGUGCAAGCGUUAAUCGGAAUUACUGGGCGUAAAGCGUGCGCAGGCGGUUUGUUAAGCGAGAUGUGAAAUCCCCGGGCUUAACCUGGGAACUGCAUUUGAAACUGGCAGGCUAGAGUCUUGUAGAGGGGGGUAGAAUUCCAGGUGUAGCGGUGAAAUGCGUAGAGAUCUGGAGGAAUACCGAUGGCGAAGGCAGCCAUCUGGCCUAAUUGACGCUGAGCCCUGGACAAACUGACGCUGAGGCUCGAAAGCGUGGGGAGCAAACAGGAUUAGAUACCCUUAGUCCACGCCGUAAACGAUGACUUAGUCCACGCCGUAAACGAUGACAUGUUAGCCGUCGGGCAGUAUACUUUCGCUGAAGCUAACGCAUUAAGUACAGUGUCGUAGCUAACGCGGUAAGCGCUGCCGUAGCUAACGCAUUAAGUAUGCCGGAGCUAACGCGUUAAACGCGCCACCUGGGAAGUACGAUCGCAAGACUUGAACUGGGAGUACGUUCGCAAGAACGAAAACUCUUGGAAAUUGACGGGGGCCCGCACAAGCGGUGGAGCAUGUGGUUUAAUUCGAUGCAACGCGAAGAACCUUACCUACUCUUGACAUCCACAGAAGACUGCAGAGAUGCGGUUCAUUUUUCCUUUCGGGGACAGCGGCACAGGUGCUGCAUGGCUGUCGUCAGCUCGGUCGUGAGAUGUUGGUUUAAAGUCCCGCAACGAGCGCAACCCCUAUCCUUAUUUGCCAGCACGUAAUGGUGGGAACUCUAGGGAACCGCCGGUGACAAGCCGGAGGAAGGCGGGGAAUGACGUCAAGUCAUCAUGGCCCUUACGAGCUGGGCUACACACGUGCUACAAUGGC
rnacentral:rRNA from 1 species